ACAGACUAACAGGAUUCCCCUAGUAGCGGCGAGCGAAGCGGGAAGAGCUCAAAUUUAUAAUCUGGCACCUUCGGUGUCCGAGUUGUAAUCUCUAGAAAUGUUUUCCGCGUUGGACCGCACACAAGUCUGUUGGAAUACAGCGGCAUAGUGGUGAGACCCCCGUAUAUGGUGCGGACGCCCAGCGCUUUGUGAUACAUUUUCGAAGAGUCGAGUUGUUUGGGAAUGCAGCUCAAAUUGGGUGGUAAAUUCCAUCUAAAGCUAAAUAUUGGCGAGAGACCGAUAGCGAACAAGUACCGUGAGGGAAAGAUGAAAAGCACUUUGGAAAGAGAGUUAACAGUACGUGAAAUUGUUGGAAGGGAAACGCUUGAAGUCAGACUUGCUUGCCGAGCAAUCGGUUUGCAGGCCAGCAUCAGUUUUCCGGGAUGGAUAAUGGUAGAGAGAAGGUAGCAGUUUCGGCUGUGUUAUAGCUCUCUGCUGGAUACAUCUUGGGGGACUGAGGAACGCAGUGUGCCUUUGGCGGGGGUUUCGACCUCUUCACACUUAGGAUGCUGGUGGAAUGGCUUUAAACGA
rnacentral:rRNA from 1 species